AGAGUUUGAUCCUGGCUCAGGAUGAACGCUGGCGGCGUGCUUAACACAUGCAAGUCGAACGAAGCACCUUGAUUUGAUUCUUCGGAUGAAGAUCUUGGUGACUGAGUGGCGGACGGGUGAGUAACGCGUGGGUAACCUGCCUCAUACAGGGGGAUAACAGUUAGAAAUGACUGCUAAUACCGCAUAAGACCACAGCACCGCAUGGUGCAGGGGUAAAAACUCCGGUGGUAUGAGAUGGACCCGCGUCUGAUUAGGUAGUUGGUGGGGUAACGGCCUACCAAGCCGACGAUCAGUAGCCGACCUGAGAGGGUGACCGGCCACAUUGGGACUGAGACACGGCCCAAACUCCUACGGGAGGCAGCAGUGGGGAAUAUUGCACAAUGGGGGAAACCCUGAUGCAGCGACGCCGCGUGAGCGAUGAAGCAUUUCGGUAUGUAAAGCUCUAUCAGCAGGGAAGAAAAUGACGGUACCUGACUAAGAAGCACCGGCUAAAUACGUGCCAGCAGCCGCGGUAAUACGUAUGGUGCAAGCGUUAUCCGGAUUUACUGGGUGUAAAGGGAGCGUAGACGGAGUGGCAAGUCUGAUGUGAAAACCCGGGGCUCAACCCCGGGACUGCAUUGGAAACUGUCAAUCUAGAGUACCGGAGAGGUAAGCGGAAUCCCUAGUGUAGCGGUGAAAUGCGUAGAUAUUAGGAGGAACACCAGUGGCGAAGGCGGCUUACUGGACGGUAACUGACGUUGAGGCUCGAAAGCGUGGGGAGCAAACAGGAUUAGAUACCCUGGUAGUCCACGCCGUAAACGAUGACUACUAGGUGUCGGGCAGCAAAGCUGUUCGGUGCCGCAGCACACGCAAUAAGUAGUCCA
rnacentral:rRNA from 1 species